rnacentral:rRNA from 1 species
UGUUAGGGAAGAACAAGUGCAAGAGUAACUGCUUGCACCUUGACGGUACCUAACCAGAAAGCCACGGCUAACUACGUGCCAGCAGCCGCGGUAAUACGUAGGUGGCAAGCGUUGUCCGGAAUUAUUGGGCGUAAAGGGCUCGCAGGCGGUUUCUUAAGUCUGAUGUGAAAGCCCCCGGCUCAACCGGGGAGGGUCAUUGGAAACUGGGAAACUUGAGUGCAGAAGAGGAGAGUGGAAUUCCACGUGUAGCGGUGAAAUGCGUAGAGAUGUGGAGGAACACCAGUGGCGAAGGCGACUCUCUGGUCUGUAACUGACGCUGAGGAGCGAAAGCGUGGGGAGCGAACAGGAUUAGAUACCCUGGUAGUCCACGCCGUAAACGAUGAGUGCUAAGUGUUAGGGGGUUUCCGCCCCUUAGUGCUGCAGCUAACGCAUUAAGCACUCCGCCUGGGGAGUACGGUCGCAAGACUGAAACUCAAAGGAAUUGACGGGGGCCCGCACAAGCGGUGGAGCAUGUGGUUUAAUUCGAAGCAACGCGAAGAACCUUACCAGGUCUUGACAUCCUCUGACAACCCUAGAGAUAGGGCUUUCCCUUCGGGGACAGAGUGACAGGUGGUGCAUGGUUGUCGUCAGCUCGUGUCGUGAGAUGUUGGGUUAAGUCCCGCAACGAGCGCAACCCUUGAUCUUAGUUGCCAGCAUUCAGUUGGGCACUCUAAGGUGACUGCCGGUGACAAACCGGAGGAAGGUGGGGAUGACGUCAAAUCAUCAUGCCCCUUAUGACCUGGGCUACACACGUGCUACAAUGGACAGAACAAAGGGCUGCGAGACCGCAAGGUUUAGCCAAUCCCACAAAUCUGUUCUCAGUUCGGAUCGCAGUCUGCAACUCGACUGCGUGAAGCUGGAAUCGCUAGUAAUCGCGG